GAGCACUUUUAUGCGUUUAAUGAACCAUGUUUUGCGUGCUUUUAUUGGGAAAUUUGUUGUAGUUUAUUUUGAUGACAUCUUAAUCUAUAGCAAAAACCUAGAUGAGCAUUUAGAACAUUUAAAUUGUGUGCUUGUUGUGUUGCGAAAGGAACAACUGUAUGCUAAUUUCAAAAAGUGCACAUUUUGCAUGGAUAGAGUUGUUUUCCUAGGAUUUGUGGUUAGUGCUAACGGGGUGGAAGUCGAUGAAGAAAAGAUAAAAGCUAUAAAAGAAUGGCCAACACCUAAGACUAUAACUGAAGUUAGGAGUUUUCAUGGAUUGGCUAGUUUUUAUAGGCGAUUUGUAAGAGAUUUUAGCACCAUCACCACACCGUUGACUGAAAUAGUAAAGAAGAGUGUAGGUUUUCAUUGGGGAGAAUCUCAAGAAAUUGCAUUUAACACAAUUAAGGAUAAGCUAUGUAAAGCACCU
rnacentral:lncRNA from 1 species